UGGGGAAUUUUGGACAAUUGGGCGAAAGCCUGAUCCAGCAAUGCCGCGUGUGUGAAGAAGGCCUUCGGGUUGUAAAGCACUUUUGUCCGGAAAGAAAUCCUUGGCUCUAAUACAGUCGGGGGAUGACGGUACCGGAAGAAUAAGCACCGGCUAACUACGUGCCAGCAGCCGCGGUAAUACGUAGGGUGCAAGCGUUAAUCGGAAUUACUGGGCGUAAAGCGUGCGCAGGCGGUUUGCUAAGACCGAUGUGAAAUCCCCGGGCUCAACCUGGGAACUGCAUUGGUGACUGGCAGGCUAGAGUAUGGCAGAGGGGGGUAGAAUUCCACGUGUAGCAGUGAAAUGCGUAGAGAUGUGGAGGAAUACCGAUGGCGAAGGCAGCCCCCUGGGCCAAUACUGACGCUCAUGCACGAAAGCGUGGGGAGCAAACAGGAUUAGAUACCCUGGUAGUCCACGCCCUAAACGAUGUCAACUAGUUGUUGGGGAUUCAUUUCCUUAGUAACGUAGCUAACGCGUGAAGUUGACCGCCUGGGGAGUACGGUCGCAAGAUUAAAACUUAAAUGAAUUGACGGGGUCAU
rnacentral:rRNA from 1 species